UAUUCUGCACGGGCUGCUGGGCAGAGCUAGCACUCUGGAGAAGGGCUGCCUCUGUCUGCGCCCUCCUGGUUCAAUGCAGGCAGCUGAGUGUCACAGCUCUAACUGAGACUCACAGUAAUCAACACACCGGAGUCAAUUCCCAUGAUGGCAAGAGGGGAAACCGGAGGAGGUGACCACGAUGAUGAAAACAUUCUUCUACCAAGUUUUAGCACUGACUAUCCUCCGGAAAAUGGGAUCCAGGAGAAGUGACGCCCUCCUCGAACUGAAAGAACAGACGGUGCCCACUCUUCCCAGGGAGUGUGAAACAAGAGAUAACUGAACACAGGCUUCCUGAUCAGCUUUUCACUCUAAUCAGAACCGGGUUUUAAACAAGCUGACCUGCUAUGAACACGUGACAGAGCAUUGCCUUGAACUCGCUCAUCUGCACAGUGGCAUGAGAAGGUGAGGGACAUCUCCGAGGAAGUCAGGCGUGGGCUAUUAAUUAUGUGUAAGGAACGGAUGGUCCCCGGGAAGCCACCAUCAGCUAGAGAGACCAAAACACUGUGCAGAAGAACUUCUCCGUUUUCAUGAGGGAUUGCUGAUUUCACAUGCAAAUUGCCAGCUAGUGCAAAGAUGCUAACAAAGCAAACUGUGCCUCUCUGCUCAGGAAUUCUAAAAAGAAAUAAAUGUCUUCUGUAUUUAAUAAGCCCUUAUAAUUAUUCCUGGCAUGUCAAGUAGAGCAGGAAUAGAAUUGGAGAAGAUUAGGGGAAUGAAAUUUUAACAUGAUAUCAGUCUUAAAAGAAUUGAAUGAGUGGCCCCAGAAAUCGUCAUUCUUUAAAUAUGACUCUGCCAUUUAAUUAGAGAGAGAAUGCAGAACGAAAUCCUGCCAUCAUUCUAGGGUUUAGCAUAAUUUUGAACCAUCAGGCAAAAUGGCAAGAUCAAGCUUGAUGUCCCACUAUAGGACUUCUUAGAACAAAGGGGAAUGAGAGGUGUGUGGCAGUGGCAUUGGAGUGAGGAUGUUGGACACUUGGCAGCCUGGUCCUUCCCCUCCUUGGACUUUGCUCCUGUGCAAAUGGUUUCCAAGGGAAAAAGUAGCAGAGUCAAACCAAGCAAGAUUUCUUAAGAAAAGGAAUUCCGGUAUCAGCAGCGAAAGAGGUGACUUUUGCGUCUGUCACGUCUGAGGGCUCCUGAAGUGUUGUCUCAUUAAAAUGUAUGCCCAGAAUUAAUUCACAUUCAUUUUGUUAAGAGCCAAAUCACCUGGGUUGAAUUUGUGAGUGGAAUCAUAAAAAAUGAAUAAUGAGAAAUGGUAACAGGCCCGCGGAGUGGCCAGGGAGGAGGAGCAUAGGUAAGCGGAGACUCUUCUCCCCCUCGGUGAUUUUUAAUGUUUCUUGGUGUGUGUGUGUGUCAGGGGGGAGAUAGUUUAGUCACUAAAGUCAUUUCUUUGCAAACAUGGAGACCUUUCUUCCAUCCCCAGAACCCAUGUUAACAAAUAAGAAGCUGGGUAUGUUGGCACUUGGUUAUGGUCACACUGUGGAGGAGGCAGAAACAAGAGGAACCGUGGGGCUUACUAGUCAUCCAAAUUAGUCUACUUCAUGAGUUCAAGACCAAUGAGAGACUUGACAGGUGGUACCUGAGAAAUGGCAUGAGAUGUCUUUGAACUUCCACAUGUACAGACAGACACACAUACACACAUACAUUCACACACACAGGGACAUGCAUACACACAUAGACAUACUGGGACAUGCAUGCACGGACCCAUACAUGCAAACACAGAUGAACACCUACACAUUUGGUGUUUAUGGAGGUUAUACUGAAGCUGCUACAUGGUGUAAAAUAAAUAGAAUCUUUAAAACAAGUGACAGGUUAAAAUUUGUAAUUGGCUUUCCAUGGUUUCCAAGUAGGUGGUAAUAAGAAAAAGAAGAAAAUUCCUAAAGAAAGUAAGAUUUAUACAUUUUUUUUGUAAGAAAACCUGAAAAGAACAUUUAAUGAUCUUGUGAGGCUGGAUGAGGAAAUAGGACCCCGGGGAGAGGAUUCAUGAAGUUGCCUCAUUUGGAGCUGCCCAUGGCAGGGUUUUUGGAAGAUACUAAUAAAGGCCAUGAUGUACCUGGCCUAGAGAUGCUCAGAAGUUGAAAAUUAGAGCCUCUAUUCCUAUCAUCUCAGAGCCAAAACAAUGAUAUCCUAUGUCUGUACAGAUGACUGAUCUUAACAAGUACAAGGCCAGACUAGAUGGCUCAACCUCUCACUCUGCACGUCAUCUUGGCUGCCCAUAACCCGAAGGACAGCUACUUCUUUCUGUCCUAUAGAUGAUUCCCAGGAGAUCACGCUGGCUGCCCUCUAUUGCUAGGUUAAGACAUUUGUGUUGAGUUGUUAUCAGGACAUUUAAUGUUUUUCUAAGACUUCAACUGCUCUUGACCUCCCAACGGUUCUAAUUUUAGAACUGCCCGUGAUUGGCAGCUGGCUACUUUGGGGACACGCCACCCUCAUCUCGAAAAGCAGAGGCUGGGACUCAUUUCACAAUGAGAGUCUCCUAGAACAUGAGGGGACAGGUCCCUUCUAUCUGUAGAGAAGCCUGGAUGUUGUGGGGAAAGAAUUAGCGCAGACAUGCCUACAGGAUCAAAACGGAGCCUGGCUGGUCUUUGUAUCUAUUUUUCUACCCCCCUCUCAAAUGGGGCUGCUCAUGUAUCCCUUCAUCAAAACCCUAAUUCUGGACCAAGAUGCUGCUUUGUACGUCAAGGUUCCCCUUCCCUUGGGUAUAUCAGAGAAUGUCUGGUCUCUGAGGCAGAUAAAAUUAAGUAUAGGGGCCUCUCACUGUCAGCCUCUUGGGUACCAGAAAUUGGUUGUCUCAUCCCAUAGCAGGCAGGCCACAUAGACACCCCAGUGCAUCCUGGGGGAGUGACCCAGAAUAGCUUCUCUUUGGGUCUCCUGCUGGGCCUCUGAGCUUUUCAUGCUCUCCGGUGGUGACAUCCAUUUUAUAACUAAGGGAAAGAAAUUUCAGUCUAUUCCAUUUUCUCUGUGUCUCAUGUACUGUACACUGUCAUGUAAAUGGGCACUGAACCUACCAGUUUCUCCUAAAACUUGUACUAUUCUUAUUUUGGGAUAUAAAUUGUUUUAGGCCCCUAGGCAAUCUUUUCCAAGAAAUCAAUGUGGCCUCAAAGAAGUGUAAACACUUAGAGCAGUGGUUCUCAACCUGUGGAUCUUGACACCUCUAGCAAAACCCUCUCUCCAAAAAAAUAUUUACAUUACAAUUCGUAAUAGCAACAAAAUUACAGUUAUGAAAUAACCACCAAAAUAAUUUUAUGGUUGGGGGUUCACCAUAACAUGAGGAACUGUAUAACAGGGUCACAGCAUUAGGAAGGUUGAGAACCACUUGCUCAAGGUUUCAAGAAAGGAAACUGGCAAAGUAGAAAGAGGUAUGAGGGACACACAGAGCGUUUCCCCAGCCUCAGAUUGAAUAGUUGAUAAAAUUGUGUCAUAACUAUCCAGACGAAAUGAACUUGUGUGACUAUGUGUUGAAAUCUGGCUUGUGAUAUAAAAGCACAAUUAAGCCAGCCAUUUUGUCACCGCGCUUCGAACCUCCCCUUCCCUUAGUGAUGUGGCUCCACUAGCUUGUGAGAUUAGCUGGCAUCCUUAGGUGAUCCUGAUAUGGUCCAUGACAUGCCUAUGUUCCUUCAAAAGGAAGCAGAUUAAAUUACAUGUGGCUAUGGCCGAGACUGCAGAUUUUAAAGCCAUGUUGUUCCUGUAUCCAUCCACAUCUGCAUUUUCUAAAAUGUGUACUGCUUUUUUUUUUUUUUAACCAAAGGACAGCUUUGAAUAGUCACCUCAGCUGGUGGCUCAGGCACAUAAACUAAGUCUUCGCCAAUGUACCCCGCAUUGGGUUAAGUAUUUAGCAUAGAUUAAUUGGAAGUAGUGUUAUUUUUAUUUGUAUCUUGUAGGCAAGGAAGUCAACUCAUGAAGAAAUAAAGCCACACAUUCAGAUUACAAAGACAGAGCCAGGAUAACACCUCAGGGAACCUGAUUCCAUAGUUGACAUUCUCUUCUCAGAGAUUCUAUUCAGUCAUUUUUAUUUUUACAUGAAUGAGAAAUAGGCAGAUAAGCCGGGUGGACAGGACAGAUCAGAGUCAAGUUUAGUUCCAAGCCAAUUGAUUACAUUCAGAUAGAAGGAAAACAAUCAGCACAAAGAGAUCACCUUUUGGUCUAAGUCUCCAGGAAUCGGGAGAUUGCAGUUCAUGCAUCCAUGCAUGGCUCAGACCCGUACACUUCCAUGCAGUAUAAGCAUAGCCACGGCAGGAACUGUGCCGCCUGCAUUAAAAUCCCAGCUCCACCACCUGGAAGCUGUGUGAUCCCAGGCUAAUGACUUGCUGCCUCUGUGACUCUGUCUGGUCUGUAGAAAGAGGGUAAUUGUGCCCACUUCACAUGGCCGUUGUGGAGCUCAAGAGGUUGUGAAUACAGAUUAGUGCCUGCUAUAGAGUUAAGUACACUGUACAGGUGUUUGCUUUCCUCUCCGCCUCAUGAUCUGCUCCACAGAUGUGGUGAUGGUGCUGGUUGUGAUGGAGGCUUUAGGUAUUCAGAAGCUCUCUGGACUUUAUAUAGGAGAAGAUGAAAACACAGCUCCUGUUAGUCCUGUUAGAUGCACUUCAGUGACUAUGACAAUUUUAAGAUCGUCUAGGACAGUGGUCCUCAACCUGUGGGCCGAGACCCCCCCCCAGGGAUCGCAGAUAUCCUGCGUAUCAGAUAUUGACAUUGCAACUCAUAAAGGCAGCAAAAUUGUAGUGAUGAAGUAGCAAUGGAAUAAUUUUACAGUUGGGGGUCACCACAACAUAAGGAACUGUAUUAAAGCAAUGAAAUAUUUUUAUGAUUGGGGAUCACCCCAACAUGAGGAACUGUAUUAAAACAAUGAAAUAUUUUUAUGGUUGGGGGUCACCACAAUAUAAGGAACUGUAUUGAAAGCAAUGAAAUAAUUUCAUGGUGGGGAUCCCCACAGUAUGAGGAACUGUGUUAAAGGUCACAGCAUUAGGAAGCUUGAGAAGCUUUAUCUCAUUGGAAUGAUAAGUGAAAAGGUGAUCAACCAACAUGUUGCAUGCCACUGGGUAAAAUUACAAUUUUGCCCUUAAUCGGAAGGGAUUUAACUUCACAUAUAAAUGAGAUGAUUUUCAAACUGAAAUCAGAGAGACUGAAAAUUUAUUGUGAGAGUCUGAAUCUUGAUCUGGGUGGAUGAUUCGGUCAACAAGGUGUUUGCUAUGUGAACUCAAAUACCCCAGUUCAGAUGCCCAGAGCACACGGAAAAUGGUAGUGUGGGACCUGUGCCUGUAUCCCUGUGAUGGAGAGACGGGGCGUCUCUGAGACUGCUGGUCAGCUCGUCUAGUCAAAUUAGUAAGCUACAGGUUCAGUGAGAGACUCUCUCUCCAAACUAAGGUGGCUAUUGAUCAAGGAAGGGAGCUAAUGUGAACCUCUAACUUCUAUAGACUCAGACAGAGGUGAGCACGAGCACACAUACACACAAAAUUUUGAAUCUUGACAUGUUAGAAAGUGGGACGCAUUCCUAUCUGCAAAGGUCAAGUGAUAAGGAAGCCAUGACAGAGCUUUUGUUUUGACAAUUCAUCUUGGGAAAAUACAGUAGGUCAUCCAAUAACUUACAGAUUUGAUAGAUUUUUCACAGAUAUAAGUCUUCACUUCUGUUUUUGCCAAAGAAUCUGACUGGAUUCCAGGAUUCCUUAGGGGGCUUUCGUGAGGGUAAGGCAGGCUUUAUGACUUUAAGGAAGCUUGGCCCAACUCUGCCAGCUCACCAAUGGGAAAGGUUGGCAAAGUUCCAAAGGUGAUUUGCAUUAUAUCUGUUAUGUCACAGGGUGGAGAGUGUUUGGGUGGCUGAAAGGGGAAGCCUAUAAUUUUGUAGCUAUUAGUUGAACAUUUCUGCUAAGCCUAUUUUUAUUCAAAAAAUUGGAAAGAAUCUCAGCACUCGGGACAAUUCUAGGCUUCUCCGCCACCAGAAUAGAAUCUACCCAGACUCGGCACUAAUUCUGACCGUACAAGUAAUCAGAGUAUAAAUAUUGAGCCCCAAAUAUUGACUUCCUUUGUCUCUCCCUUCCUUCCUUCCUUCCUUCCUUCCUUCCUUCCUUCCUUCCUUCCUUCCUUCCUUUCUGAUCAGCAUUGUCCUUUGUGAAGAUUUUUCUGUGUAAAGAGGUAGGGUUUUGAACUUAAUCCUAACUACUUAGGAAAAAUGGCGCCACUGCUGUCUUGCUUAGAAAGAUGGAGCACAGUUACGCUCACUACAGAGCCAUGAAUUACUUCCGUAUUGAUAGCCAUCAUGUGUGCCGGAUGUACACACGUUCUUCUAGCUUCUUGAAUAGAACGCUAGAUGAUUGCCCUAUCAAUAAAUUAGAACAACAACCAUGUCAUGCUUUCUCGCUGCCUAGGGUCACCCUCAUGUGACGCUUAGCGACUUCACUACACGUGGGUAAUCAGGUGAAGGAGCACCCCCGCCAUCGUCCAUGGGUCAGCUAUGUGGACUCUAGCUGCCAAAGGCGCUUCUCCUUCUGAACCGAGCGCUUUGCUCAGCCAGUGUAGACAUGGCCUGAUAAACAAUGGAACAUCUAUCUGCCUUGAGAACUGGAGUGUGACUUGGUCUAAUCCUUUAACUGAGAAUCGGGCACAGGUUUGAUGAAUGGUUGAGAUGACGGCAUUUCUAGUAAAGCGGAUCCUAAAUUGGCGAUAAUGAAAUGAGCAGCGUAAUUUAUAAUGAACUUCAAAGAGGUAGUGCUGAGUGCGGCAGAAGCUAAUCAAGGCGCCAUCAAAUCAAAGGUUUCGCGUGAGCUUAACUAUGUGUGGCAGGGAGGUUCUUGCAGGCUUAUAUCUGUCAGAGUGUUGCCUGGCCAUGUCAUUUUUUAACCAAGAUGUCACCUACCUCAGGAGAAGCAACAUGCCUUGCACUCUCUCCUCCCUAUGUUUUGUUGGGGAGCGCAAAUGAAGCGGGGGGUGCCUUUGCAAACCCCACACUUUGAUUUUGCAGGCUCACAGGCUGGCAGAGUCAGGGAGGACGUGGCUAAGACCAGCAACCCUGCACCCCGUCCAGGCUGUCUGCGGGGAGUGUUUCCUGACCUGUCCAGAGAAGUCUGUCCAGGAUCAUUGAGACAUCCCUGAGAUUUCAAUCGGAUGCAUGAAGGAUGCUGGAAACAUGAAUCACUGUCUGUGUUUUUCUUUUCAUGCACUUAACCCACCAAGGAAAGUGAGGAAGGUGGGGCCGUAAGCCUUAAUACACAACCUCUCUCUCCUAGGAUAUGACACACUCCCAACCAGGCCUUCCCAGACCCUCUGUAGCUCACCAAGCUUCCAAGUUUUAAAUAUUAAAACCAUGAGGCUAGUUUUUCACAUAUUGAAAACAACUCGAUUUGGGAGCUGGGUUAAAAAAAAAAACCUGAGACUUGUACUUUGACUUUUUGAUCAUUUGUCUAUUUCCUCAGGAAAAAAAGAAAGUGUUACCAGUGAUAUGAAUUAACUGUGAGAAACCUAAGGAAAAUAUUACCUUCCAAUUCUCUUCAAAAUAGAUGCUCACAUUAUCUUUAAAUGGUGGCUAAGUGGUUCAGCGAGAAGCAAGCAGCGUUAACAGCUUCAGAAAAAAUAAACCCUGUCUCUUUAGAAGCGCGAGUUGUGCUGAAGAGCCUAUAAGCUUAAUUCGCUGAGCAGCCACCCAGUCUUUGCCGCUGUAUUUCGUUAGAAAGGAAGGAGAGGCUGUUUCUACAGGGUGUCACAGGAAAAUCGAUGCUGAGCCACGGAUUAUUGGAUCCCACAGAACCGUGGCGACUCGGCAGUGAAAUUCUUCCAAAGCCUCUUCUAGAUACCUGAGUUGAAAGAAAAAGAACAAAACAAAAGAGCAACAAAAAAGCAAAGCUGUUCCUCCCACCUCGGUUGCUUCCCUGCAUCACUUAGCAUUCCGUCUGCGAAGGCAGAGGUGUCCCUGGUUUGGGAAGUAUAAAUCCCGUGGGACGUCAGCUGGAGAACAUUUUACGCAUCGCUCAUUCUGUUAUGAGCCUGCUGCUCUUCCGUCUCCCGACAAGGCUAAGUAGACAGUGUCUACUCUGGCUGUGCCCGACAUCCCUGCUCCGUGCAAGACCACUGAUGAGAAGAGCACAGAAAUAUAAAUAAAAUACCUGGAAGUGAAAAUCUUUGAAUUUCCCAUUCGAUGUGUUAAAGGACAGAAGCCACAAUAAGGCUGCCUGGCUACAUUUUCCCAGUGCCCCCCAACUGCGAGUUAAGCUGAGGAACAUUUCGAGAGCUCGGCCCAUUUCAUUCACAGCGGGACGGCAGGAGCUGCCAUGAGGAAUAAACUAAAAAUCAUGCUUUUAUUGCACAAUUGUGUUGAAUCUCAAGACUGGAAAUGAUGAAAUUCUGCUCAGCAAGGUUAUGCUCCACAUCACCCACCAGGGAGGAUCAUCUCUCAUGAAAAACUUUCAAAUUUGAUUUUGAAAAUUUAUUCAGAAAAAUUUAAGCCACGCUUUUUUUCCCAACACAAGAAAUAAUAUGCUCUGGAGAACCUGCUAAUUCACAGAAAAUGGACUGGGCUAACAUUCGGGUUCUCAUCCUACCACAGUCCUCUUGAGAAAGACGGCCAGGAGGCUAAUAAUGAAGGGGCCAGGGAAAGAGGCCAAUACUACAAGGGUUAUCUCCCCUCAGAUGCUGGAGAAGUUGGAGGAGGCAGACUCGCUUCUGGAUGACAUUCAGAAAGGCUGGAGCGAUUAUUUGGAAGAGAAAACCCUGCCUCUGUUUUCAAAGGUACGUGAAUAUUGACAAGACCUGCCCGUCUAAAGGUCCCGUCCUUAGAAUCCUGCCUUAGACAAAGGAUGCACUUGGAGCCCGACCACACCUUAAACCACAUUUUGAAGGAUCUGCCAAGCUCACUUUUAAUCAUGAGAAGGAAAUUACCCACAUGGAGGCAGCAGAAAAUGAGAAAGUAGAGUUCGUGCCGCGAUUAAUUCCAGCGAGUGCCAAGGGGCUAGUUGAGGAAUGGCUUCAUGAGGUGAAUAUCUGUAGCUUGUACUUAGGGUUUGCUUAGCGUAUAAUCAUUUUCUCUUCCAGGAGCAAAUACGAUCCUAAGUGUAUUUCCCAUCCAAGCAACGCUCAGGGCGUUUGUGAGGACAUUGACAGAUUUAAUAUUGGCCUCGCCCUUGCUGUUAUUUAUGAUGACUAGUGUUACAUUUAUAAAUAUGCAAAAAUCAAUUUAGGUGGCAAGGCUCUCUGAACCCCAUGCUGUCCCCAGCCGUCUGUCUCCAUGUGCAGUGCUAUGCUGUGUGGCAUGCCCAGUAGUUUAUGUCUCUGUGUAUGUAUGUGUUCUUGUUCUUGUCUCCGCUCUGUCAUGAAUGUAUGUUGGGAGAAUUAGCCAAAUGAUAGGAUCCCAAAAGAUUGGACCCAAGACUUUCAUUUGAUUUUUGGAAAAAGUAUAUAUAU